rnacentral:rRNA from 1 species
CAUUAAAGAAUACCAGGCCCUCCGGGGCCCCCAUUCUAACCCUUUGCAUACCUAACUUUGUUGCUUUGGCGGUAAAACGUCAGAGGACCGAAACCCUUGAAUCUCUGCUGUCUGAGUACUAUAUAAUAGUUAAAACUUUCAACAACGGAUCUCUUGGUUCUGGCAUCGAUGAAGAACGCAGCGAAAUGCGAUAAGUAAUGUGAAUUGCAGAAUUCAGUGAAUCAUCGAAUCUUUGAACGCACAUUGCGCCCCCUGGCAUUCCGGGGGGCAUGCCUGUUCGAGCGUCAUUACAACCCUCAAGCUCUGCUUGGUAUUGGGCUCCGCCUCUGGGCUGGCCUAAAAAUCAGUGGCGGCACAGUCUGACCUUAAGCGCAGUAAUACUCGUCGCUUGUAGGCUCAGGUUGCGGCUUGCUAAAACAACCCCCACCAUACAAGGUUGAC